rnacentral:rRNA from 1 species
AUGACAUCAAUGGGUGCAAUGGCCACCUCUCUUUGCAAAGCUAGCCAAUGUGGAAUUAUCACUGGCGGGCUACUACCUUGCGGAUGGGAUACAUGUGAAUUGCGCUACUUUUGUCGAGCCAAUUUCAAGCCCCCAACGAAUCUACUUCCAUAUUGCCAAACGACCGCUAGGAAAGAUGAUGUGGAGAGGGCUUUUGGGAUUUUGCAAGCCAAAUUUGCUAUCGUGCGAGGGCCGGCUAGGUUUUGGGACCAAGAGAUCCUUCAACACAUCAUCACAACUUACAUCAUCAUGUACAACACGGUCAUUGAGAAUAAGUGUGGCAAAGAUUAG